rnacentral:tRNA from 1 species
UUUCCUGUGGCUCAGUGGGUAGAGCAAUGCGCUAAAAACGCAAAGCUCGUUGGUUCAAAUCCCAGGGAAAG